AAGAAGGGUUUCAAUUUUUUCAAAUGAACGAUUUGAAGACCUAUUGGUUCUACCAGCUGAUUGCAGAGUUGAUCAUUCGGACCUUUCAAUUCAUAGAUAUGGAUUUCGGACCUAUGAAUGGGGAUAUUCCCGAAACUCACAAAGAAAAAAGGAAGUGAGUUAGACAAAAAGAGAAGAAACUUGGACAAAAAAAGAAGUAACUUGGACAAAAAGAAACGAAGUGACUUAGACAAAUCUUUUUUGUCGAUAACCUCAGACCAAUCAAUCGAAUAUUGAUUAAUA
rnacentral:misc_RNA from 1 species